CAUCAUGAACAGACUACAAAUUAACUUGAAAGGUCACCCCUUGAGCACUGCGGAGAGCUUCGACAUCUGUGAUCAGCUCAACCAUGGUCUUCUUGCAAAAUUUCACAAAGUUGUAAACUUGGUGGGGAGUAUUAUCGGGACACAUGUUCUGAUCCGCCUCUUUCAGCUUGUCAGGGAAGUCCUGGAGGGCAUAGUUGGUCAGAACCGCCAUGUUAGCAUACUUGUCCCUCCAUUCACUAUAUAACCCUUGCAGGUUUCCAAUGAUGGCAUCCCUCUCAAGGUCAGAACCGCCAUGUUAGCAUACUUGUCCCUCCAUUCACUAUAUAACCCUUGCAGGUUUCCAAUGAUGGCAUCCCUCUCAGCUAUAGCUCCUUCGGCUCUUUGGUAAGCACUCUCCCAAUAUAGGAAACUAUCCCUUAUCUCUUGAUACUCUUCAUCAAUGAUUCCAGCUUUCAUGCUUCGGGUCUUCUCAUGAGCCCUUUCUAGUUGGAAUUUUUCGUGAAGGUAGGCUCUGUGUAUCUUCUCCUUUUCCAGUUUCUUGCGGGCUGCGUGAUCUUGAUAUUCUUUGAUGGUUUUUCUCAAUUCGAUGAUCUGAGCUUCAUAAUCUUCCUUGGCGCUCUUCUUAUCCCUAUUGGUAAGUUCCAGAAUCUUUUCCAAGUCUCGAACAACACGCCAUGCUCGAUCCAAUUCGUUGUUUCGUCCAUCAAGUUCUGAAUUGGCGCCUAGGAGGGCACCGCCGACCCAUUCUUUCUUACCUUUUUCUUCCCUUAACCUAUUUCUACUGGUCUCAUACAAGGUCUUCACUUCUUUGCGUUCGUCUUCUAGAUCAUCACCCCUUUGCUUCUCCUUGAUGAGUUGGAGUCGUAAGCGGGUGUUUUCUAGUUCGAGCUCACUUAUCUUGCUGGUGAGUUUGUCGACAUCCUCUUGUAAGAUGGGCUCAGGCUCAGGCACUAGAGGGAGAGAUGUGGACUCGUAGUAGAAAGGCAUCUUGACCAUUCGGGCCCUCUCUUUUACCCACUUCAUAUAUGGUUCCCUAGCAAUGACAUUCUUCUUGCCAAGUUCCGGACCACUUCUAACAAUCUUGUUCCAGGCUUGCCUUACUCUUUUCACUACUGGGUUGAGUGGAUCAACUAUGUUGAUGACAAAAGGGGCUAAGUCUUCCUCUUUAGGGGGUCCAUUCAUCGCGUGUCCAAACUGCCUCAUGCACAACACAGGAUUGUAAUUUAUACAUCCACGUGUACCUAUUAAGGGUAUGUUCGGAAAUCCUCCACAUCUAAGAAUGACGUUUUGGGUUUCCCACUCCCUUUUAUACCACUGGACGGUACUAGACGAGAGUGACGCAAACUUCUGGCACCAAGAGAGGUCUUUAGACACGAAGGGACCGGUUAGCGGCAUGUGGGUCUUCAUCCAUAUGUGCAACAUUGGAGCACAGCAUAGGAAAGUUCCACUUUUCUUCUCAUGGCGGGUGUGGAAGGUAUGGUAGAAGUCGGCCAGGAGAAAUGGCACCGGGUUACCGGAUAAGAAGAUAUUCACUGCAGCCUGGUCUAUGAAGUUGUCGAUAUUCGGGAAUAGAAUGAUCCCAUAAAUCAACAAUGCUAACACUGCUAUGCAAGAAUCCCACUUCUUCUCUUUGGCGAACCUCCACGCAUGACCUUCCAAGAACUUUCUGGCGAAUCCUUUGUCAGCUCCCUUCGGGGCCCAAUUGGCUACCAAUUCAACUACCUCGAUCCCUAGCACAGAUGCUAGCUUGGGCAUGGCAAAUUCUUCUUCGAUCUUGGGGAACGGAUUAUGAUCUUUGAUGAAGCGGUUUAAAAGCCUUUCAAAAUCCUCCAAUGUGGGAGCUAUCUGGAAGUCGGGAAAGGUAAAACAG
rnacentral:lncRNA from 1 species